GGGUCCUUAGCUCAGUUGGUUAGAGCCCUCCGCUCAUAACGGAGUGGUCGAGUGUUCGAGUCACUCAGGACCCACCA
rnacentral:tRNA from 1 species